UCCCUGCCUCGGCAGCGACAACUGUUGGUUCAUACAUGUUCAAUUCUGUCCAAGAGCUAAAUAAUUUGCCUCUGGUUGGCUUGGCCCCCUGUGCAUCAUACCUAUUUUGACGGAAUUUUAUAGUCCUACGGUCCCUUCUUUGUCUCGUGCUGCUUGUUUUGUGCGAGACAGACAAUGAAACUAACCUGGACGUCUUCCCUUGGAUGCCCUUGUGUCGCCAGAAAUCUUGUAUGCAGAAACAUGAUCGGUUGGGGUCCUUGUCCCUGUUUUUCCGAAUUAAUUGUCCCUUACGAAAGUCUUUUGUGCCCCGUGUUGACUAGAGGAUGAUAUUCAUCCUGUUGCUCAUGCGGUGCCUUUGGCAAAAAGGGAUGCUACCUGGUUGAUCCUGCCAGUAGUCAUAUGCUUGUCUC
rnacentral:misc_RNA from 1 species